rnacentral:rRNA from 1 species
UACGUAGGGGGCAAGCGUUGUCCGGAAUCAUUGGGCGUAAAGCGCGCGUAGGCGGCCAGAUAAGUCCGGUGUGAAAACUCGAGGCUCAACCUCGAGACGCCGAUGGAAACCCUCCAGCUAGAGUCCGGAAGAGGAGAGUGGAAUUCCUGGUGUAGCGGUGAAAUGCGCAGAUAUCAGGAAGAACACCCGUGGCUAAGGCGGCUCUCUAGUACGGUACUGACGCUGAGACGCGAAAGCGUGGGGAGCGAACAGG